GACGUAGGGCGCGAGCGUUGUCCGGAUUUAUUGGGCGUAAAGAGCUCGUAGGCGGCCUGUUAAGUCGAACGUGAAAUCCCCGGGCUCAACCCGGGAACUGCGUCCGAUACUGGCAGGCUUGAAUUCGGGAGAGGGAUGUGGAAUUCCAGGUGUAGCGGUGAAAUGCGUAGAGAUCCGGAGGAACCCCCGAGGCGAAGGCGGCGUCCUGGCGCGAACCUGACACUCAGACACGACAGCAUGGGGAGCGAACGGG
rnacentral:rRNA from 1 species